rnacentral:rRNA from 1 species
AACAAACGCUGGCGGCAUGCCUAACACAUGCAAGUCGAACGAUUGCCUUCGGGUGAUAGUGGCGCACGGGUGCGUAACGCGUGGUAAUCUGCCCUUAGGUUCGGAAUAACAGCUGGAAACGGCUGCUAAUACCGGAUGAUAUCGCGAGAUCAAAGAUUUAUCGCCUGAGGAUGAGCCCGCGUUGGAUUAGGUAGUUGGUGGGGUAAAGGCCUACCAAGCCGACGAUCCAUAGCUGGUCUGAGAGGAUGAUCAGCCACACUGGGACUGAGACACGGCCCAGACUCCUACGGAAAGCAGCAGUGGGGAAUAUUGGACAAUGGGCGCAAGCCUGAUCCAGCAAUGCCGCGUGAGUGAUGAAGGCCGUAGGGUUGUAAAGCUCUUUUACCCGGGAAGAUAAUGACUGUACCGGGAGAAUAAGCCCCGGCUAACUCCGUG